AAUGGAUUUAAGUGGUGACAAUCAAAGAUUUACAAGUUACUAAUUCAUUGUGCGCUGCAGGCAAAAAACAAAAAGACACACUCAUUGUAACUUCUCAUUAGUGGAAGGAAAUCAUGAUUAUAAAUGUGCAGACUAUUUAUUAUUGUAGGAAUCGGGUUUAUGUUGUAACCAGCGGCUUACUUUCAAAUAGUAACCAUCAAGGCUGAGGCUCACUUCAUGAGACAGUUAAUGGAAAGGAAAAACACCUGUGGCUGCACCUACCUUUGCCACAGCAGAUGCAAAUAAGUUUUGCUACUUUACUUUCAUCCCACAUGAAAAUUACAACAAGAAACCAAGAGAUGAUGCAUGUUUGGCAGUCUUUCUACAUGCUUUGAAGUACAUGAGUUAUGGUAAGUGAGUUGCUUUCAGGAGAUGUUAUUUUCAGUAACUGAAAUCAAAUUGUUUGGUGUUGUUUGACUGGAGCUAAUCACUGAACAUUGUUGUGGAAAGGCAGUGUGAGCUUUGUCACGUGUGACCUGUUUUGGGGUUGCUUUUUUUUUUUUUUAUAUGAGUGUAUGUGUGGAGAGUAGAGGGUUAACAUUUAAUGAAGGGACAGAAAGAUGGGGAAUUACAUUAGACAAAGGUACAUAGGUAUACAUAGUUGAUGUGAUGUCAUGUGAACGGCCUAAUCCUCUAACCCAACAGGACACUUAUGUAACCAUUAAUUUUCUGUCAGUAACACAACGCUAAGGUAAACAUGCUCUGUAAUGUUUAUAUUUAGCAGUUUCUGUGAUUUCCUGGCUUUGGUUUUGAACAUUCAUGCAGGUGAGGAUUUUUUUUUACUUUAUUGCCAGACCAGUGCACGUCAGUAUUGGUCCCAUUACGCUACUUUAGAAGUAGGUGAAGUUGUACCUAACACAUACAAUCUGCUUUUUGGGGGUUUGAUCAGCUCACAUCUAUAAUCAGCAUGCAUCCGUAUACCUGCUUUGCAUUGCUGAUCUCUGUAUGACUGAUAUGUGUAUAAGUGUAUUUAUUUGUAUGGAAAUGCAAU
ensembl:lncRNA